CAGUAGCCGCGGUAAUGCGAGGGGGGCAAGCGUUGUUCGGAAUUAUUGGGCGUAAAGGGCGCGUAGGCGGUUUGGCAAGUUUGGUGUGAAAUCUUCGGGCUCAACUCGAAGUCUGCACCGAAAACUGCCGGGCUUGAGUAUGGGAGAGGUGAGUGGAAUUUCCGGUGUAGCGGUGAAAUGCGUAGAUAUCGGAAGGAACACCUGUGGCGAAAGCGGCUCACUGGACCAUUACUGACGCUGAGGCGCGAAAGCUAGGGGAGCAAACAGGAUUAGAUACCCCAGUAGUCCCUGUCUCUUAUAA
rnacentral:rRNA from 1 species